GAUAGAUUGGCAACAAGAGCAAAUUGGGAUAAAGAUCCCUUGGAGAAAUUACCAACUAUUUUCUCAGGUGGUGAGCUACGAAGGAGACAUGGCAUGUGUUCCCAGAUGGGCCUAAUGAGGUGCCAAGAUCGCCAGUCAAUCUCCCAGCCUUCCGGUCUGGGAAGGAGUUCAGGACUCUGUCGCUGCUUCUCUGUGGACUCCUGAUCGGGCGUCUUGCUCUUGGAUGGAACUGAAGACCAGAGAGGAUCCCUUCUUGCUACAUAUCCUGACAAAGCAGUGUCCUAAGGUCUUUUCACUGGAGGCUGCCACCAGCUUCUAGGAAAGAGCAACUAGAUCUCAGAUGAGGAUCACAGAGAUGCACAAAGGGCCCAGCUGUCUUACCUGUGAAGUGGAGCUGGAGACGGAACACACCUGGUGGGCUUUCCAUGCUGACAGAGCUGAUCCCUGGAGUCCUCAGCACACUGCUUAGCCCAUAGUACAGGCCAUGGAAGGGACAUGACUAGUCCAGAGCCCUGGUCCAGAGCACUCAAACCGGAUUCCUGUUUCAUGUAUUUGAAGAGCCAUGGUAGGUUCUUUGGAGCCUUUGGCAAAAUACCCAAAGAAAUCCUUGGCCAGUACAAUACUUGUCUCAGCCUCAGUUUCCCUGGGGCUCCUGUGCUGUAUCCCUCCCACCUGACUCUUCUCUGUUCUUGUCAUUCUGUGAUUCUUGACAAAUCACUUAGUUUGAUCUCAUCCACCCCAGUGUACAGCAAUUUCUCUCCAUUUUCUUGCAUUUUUGUCUGUUUGACCUGGCCUGAAUGUGCCUUUCUCUAGGAGGUGAAGGUCCCUGUCCCCUGAAGAUCCAUGAACUUGCUGCUCCAACAACUUCCUGGCCUCAGUCUUAGCCUCUGUUCUGCCACAGUGGCCUACCUCCUCCCCAUUGUGAGAACAAAACCAUCAGAAAUACACACAGCAAGGCGCAAAGAUAGGCCAUUAGCAGAAGUGGUGCAGGAUUUAUUCUGAGGCAUCCUUGUCCCUUUAGGAUGCUCUGAGAAGGCUGGGCAGCAGACGUUCACUGUUUUCUCCCUGUUCUUAAUAAAAUUUCCCAUUAAUUAAGCAGAGCAGCGUGGGCUGCAGCCCUGGCCACAUUAUUUAUCUUUUUAUUUUGUAGUUACAAGGCAAGAUCUUUAGUGCAGGAGCCCUGGAAUUAUACACUGGGCCCUAAUAUUUCAAGACCCAACAGGAACAAAUAUGCAAUUAUAUAGUUCAGUGGUGCAGCACUACAGUAGUGCAGAGAGGAUGAGAGGAGCCCCUGCAGCUCUUGGAAAAUCCCCUAGGAGGGAAAACUCCAGGUCCUGCACUCGACUCCCUUCCAAGCCAGGGACUCUGGCCUGGCCUUGUCACCAGUCUGAACCUCUUCCUAAAGAGAUCUUCCCAGAGCCCCCAGGACCAGGGCUCCAGGGAGCAGCAGAACCCGCCCCCAUGUUCCCUCAGUCUCCCAGUGAGUCUCCUCUGGGUCCCACAGGCAGGAAGGAGGCAGGGCCGAGGAGUAGGAAAGUAUCUGGUUCCUUUGUGUGAUGCUGGGGAUCUGCAUCCUUUCAGAACCAGGGCUAAAUGAAGAUGGCUCGCACACUCACCUCAGGGCCAGUUCAGAGGAUAAAAUGAGAUCAUCCAAAUAAAAAGGUGCUUUGGCGGUGAUGUUCCCCACUCAUUUGACAGAUGAGGAAAUGAGGGCUAAGAGAGGUUAGGGGACUUGCUUAGUACUCACAUCUAGAAAGUGGUGUUCAUCACCAUGCCAGUCAACCCUGUGUCCAGUUCCCUGAGCUUCAUGGUAUGGAAUCGCAAAGUCGUUAGGUGGCACACCUGUUCAAAGUGGCCCCAGAAUAAUGUCUGGGAAGAGCUAUGGUUUGUGCCCUGCUCUGUUCACAAAAAUGACCUUCUUAAGAUACUUUGUUGAAGUCAUGGGAUUCCUCUUCUCUCCUGUGGCGCUUGGAACACAGGCAGCACCUGGGAGCACAGUGAAAGCAGGAAAGCAGAGCCCUUCAGAAGAACAAGCCACUUCAGAGGGCUAUGACAGAGCCGUGUGUGUGUGUGUGUGUGUGUGUGUGUGUGUGUGUGUGAGAGAGAGAGAGAGAGAGAGAGAGAGAGAGAGAGAGAAUGUGUGUGAAAGAGUUUGACUUUGCAUAAGCUUUUGCAUAUGUGUGAGUGGCAAUGUAUGAGUGGGAAUGGGCAAAUGUGUGUAAGCACAGGUGAGUGUGUGUAUAUGAGUGUGUGAAUGUAUGCGCUUCUGU